rnacentral:misc_RNA from 1 species
GAUGAAGAACGCAGCGAAAUGCAAUAAGUAAUGUGAAUUGCAGAAUUCAGUGAAUCAUCGAAUCUUUGAACGCACAUUGCGCCCGCCAGUAUUCUGGCGGGCAUGCCUGUCUGAGCGUCAUUUCAACCCUCAUGCCCCUAGGGCGUGGUGUUGGGGAUCGGCCAAAGCCCGCGAGGGACGGCCGGCCCCUAAAUCUAGUGGCGGACCCGUCGUGGCCUCCUCUGCGAAGUAGUGAUAUUCCGCAUCGGAGAGCGAUGAGCCCCUGCCGUUAAACCCCCAACUUUCCAAGGUUGACCUCAGAUCAGGUAGGAAUACCCGCUGAACUUAAGCAUAUCAAUAAGCGGAGGA